rnacentral:rRNA from 1 species
UCCUACGGGGCGCAGCAGUGGGGAAUAUUGCACAAUGGGGGAAACCCUGAUGCAGCAACGCCGCGUGAGUGAAGAAGUAUUUCGGUAUGUAAAGCUCUAUCAGCAGGGAAGAAAAUGACGGUACCUGAGUAAGAAGCCCCGGCUAACUACGUGCCAGCAGCCGCGGUAAUACGUAGGGGGCAAGGGUUAUCCGGAAUUAUUGGGUGUAAAGGGUGCGUAGACGGGACAGCAAGUUAGUUGUGAAAGCCCUCGGCUUAACUGAGUAACUGAAACUAAAACUAUUGUUCUUGAGUGCAGGAGAGGAA